CCGAGAACUGCUCCAGCAGCGGGAAGGACGAGAGCUCGGGGCCGUGGUGGCUGCCGCCGGCGCUGCCGUUGGGCUUCAUGGAAUUCCAGCGCUUCUCGAAGUCCUCCUCCGCCUCCGUGGCCCCCUUGGCGCACAGGUUGCCGUGCACCUCAUCGAUGAGCUCAGGCGCGAUCCAGCGCAGCGGCACCCACAGCUGGUCGGCCGUCACGAAGUAGUCGUCCUGCCAAGUGUGCAGGUGCGAGAGCCCGUAGUCCCCGAUCUUCACGGUGAGGUCAGCGGUGAGGAGGCAGUUCCGCAGGGCCAGGUCGCUGCCAAGCAAACCCGGAGCUGUCACGGGCACCGAGAGCUCGGGAGCACCCACCGGGACCCGGCUG